UUGAGAAUUGGUUAGAGCAUGACUGAUCAUGUAAGUUUUGGAUAGGAGGCAAUAGACUUUGUGUAAAUCCCUCCUUAGUAAUACAGUCUCCCUGUUAUACUUUACUGUUUUGAGAAUUGGUUAGAGCAUGACUGAUCAUGUAAGUUCUGCUUUUACAACUAACAGAGUAGCACAACAUGUAAAUUCUGCUUAUGUGUGUUUUCUAUUCCAUCAGGUUCAAAAAUUAUUUUGGCAACUAUUAUGUAUUUUGGUAGGUUGCUAUCAGGACCUAGCUAGUAUAUAGGGCCUUAACAUAGUUGACAAUUAAAUUUUG
rnacentral:lncRNA from 1 species